GCAUCUUUAGCUCAGUUGGUAGAGCAGUAGACUCUUAAUCUAUUUGUCCAGGGUUCGAGUCCCUGAAGAUGCA
rnacentral:tRNA from 2 species